AGAGUUUGAUCCUGGCUCAGGACGAACGCUGGCGGCGUGCUUAACACAUGCAAGUCGAACGGUAAGGCCCUUUCGGGGGUACACGAGUGGCGAACGGGUGAGUAACACGUGAGUAACCUGCCCUCAUCUCUGGGAUAACAGUCGGAAACGGUUGCUAAUACUGGAUAUGAGCCUGCAAGGCAUCUUGUGGGUUGGAAAGAUUUUUUGGUUGGGGAUGGACUCGCGGCCUAUCAGCUUGUUGGUGAGGUAGUGGCUCACCAAGGCUUCGACGGGUAGCCGGCCUGAGAGGGCGACCGGCCACAUUGGGACUGAGAUACGGCCCAAACUCCUACGGGAGGCAGCAGUGGGGAAUAUUGCACAAUGGACGGAAGUCUGAUGCAGCAACGCCGCGUGCGGGAUGACGGCCUUCGGGUUGUAAACCGCUUUCAAUUGUGACGAAGCUUUUUGUGACGGUAGCAGUAGAAGAAGCACCGGCUAACUACGUGCCAGCAGCCGCGGUGAUACGUAGGGUGCGAGCGUUGUCCGGAUUUAUUGGGCGUAAAGAGCUUGUAGGUGGUUUGUCGCGUCGGGAGUGAAAACUCAGGGCUUAACUCUGAGCUUGCUUUCGAUACGGGCUGACUUGAGGGAGGUAGGGGAGAAUGGAAUUCCUGGUGGAGCGGUGGAAUGCGCAGAUAUCAGGAGGAACACCGGUGGCGAAGGCGGUUCUCUGGACCUUUCCUGACGCUGAGAAGCGAAAGCGUGGGGAGCGAACAGGAUUAGAUACCCUGGUAGUCCAUGCCGUAAACGAUGAGUGCUAGGUGUUGGAUCCUUUCCGGGAUUCAGUGCCGCAGCUAACGCAUUAAGCACUCCGCCUGGGGAGUACGACCGCAAGGUUGAAAC
rnacentral:rRNA from 1 species